rnacentral:ncRNA from 1 species
UAGAGUAGUAAAGACGCGUAAAGUGUUGCAGACAGGGAUGUUUUUUGCAAACGAAAAGGGCUUUCUCUUGCGGUGUCUUUACGCGUCCGCUA